ACGCGACGCUGUGAGCUGUGAGCCGAACUGACUUGGAUCCGCUAAGCGAAGCAAGCAGGCAGGCUGACGCGAUGUGUCCAAGAAGUACGGAUAUUAUCGGUGAAUGGUGCCGUGUGAGUCACUUAUCCGCUCAUUAUCGGAGUGAAAGUUCGGGAGGGUCGACAUCUGUGAGGUUUCCGCCGUGAGAGGCUAGUGAAAAGACGAUGUUCUCCGAGGAGAGCCACCUUAAGAAUGCUCGACGUGAUCGGUGCCUGCUCGUUCGGCUCAAGCCCAUCGUCAUCUCCAUUGAUGUUGAUCGUGAGCAGACGACGUCACGGUGGUGCUCGGCGUGUGGAGGUAGAGGGUAUCUGUAAGAAGGGUUUCUCGGCGACACAUCGCGAAGAAACUGCGAAACGUCUGUGACGCAGAAGUCGUUCGCAAUGCGGAGAAUACCCCGCGUGUGGAGAGUACGAACUGGCGCUCUAGAUCAUCAUGCAUGGAAGAACCUGCCUACAGAAGACAUCGGGCCGGUGGUCAGAGCGUUCACGAUGCCAGAAACGCAUCUGCUCCUCACGAGUUCCGCUCACCUUAGGGGGGAAAUAUCGCGAGAGCUCUCUUCAGAAGGAGACAGAGCUUAGAAUCCGUGGCUGAUCGUGGUGAUCAAUAUCGGAGCUCGACCUCUCGGAAUUCCUUUCGAAAUCUAACCGAAACUGAAUUCACCAGACCAGCUCUUCCCGGCAAUGAUUUCUCGUCGCUUUAUCGCAACGAGUUCCUAUUGUUGGAAGUUUGCCCCGGCAACCAUGGCGGUACUUUGUCCAUCUCGGGCUCUCGGAGCAUGGAUUCCACCGAAUACGAUACCGCCCGACCGAACUUCUUGCAUCAUAUUCAGGAAUUUUCUGAGAAUCGCUCCUCCGGGACCUAAUUCACCGGAAGACGAAGACAUGCCCGUAUCAAGGAACGAAGCGCCGUGGAGUCAACGGAGCGCCUCCUCGAAAAAUGGGAGCGUGAAACUCUGGAUCCGCUGAGCCAACUCGCGCCAGAAUCGAAAGGUUGAUGUGUACAUACUAUGAUACCAUCUGAUCCAAAUAAACCAUUAAACAAGGGAGGACCAAA